rnacentral:tRNA from 1 species
GGAGCUAUAGCUCAGUAGUAGAGCACCUGCCUUGCAGGUGAGUCUGUGGGUUCAAUCCUCAGCACCA